ACUCAAAUGAAUAGACGGGGGCCCGCACAAGCGGUGGAGCAUGUGGUUCAAUUCGAUGCUACGCGAAGAACCUUACCCAGGCUUGACAUCCCGGGCUACCCUAGGAAACUAGGGGUUCCCUUCGGGGACCCGGUGACAGGUGCUGCAUGGCUGUCGUCAGCUCGUGUUGUGAGAUGUUGGGUUAAGUCCCGCAACGAGCGCAACCCUCGCCGCUAGUUACCAUCAUUAAGUUGGGGACUCUAGUGGGACCGCUUGGCUAUAAGCCAGAGGAAGGUGGGGACGACGUCAAGUCCGCAUGGCCUUUAUGCCUGGGGCUACACACGUGCUACAAUGGGGGGUACAAAGCGCAGCAAGCUUGCAAGAGUGAGCCAAAUCGCAAAAAACCUCUCUCAGUUCGGAUUGCAGUCUGCAACUCGACUGCAUGAAGCUGGAAUCGCUAGUAAUCGCGGAUCAGCGAUGCCGCGGUGAAUACGUUCCCGGGCCUUGCACACACCGCCCGU
rnacentral:rRNA from 1 species